rnacentral:tRNA from 1 species
ACACGGUUCAUACCCGUGGUGUCCGGGGUUCAAGUCCCUGCGCCGCUACCA